ACGGAGGGUGCAAGCGUUGUUCGGAAUUACUGGGCGUAAAGGGCGCGUAGGUGGCUAAUUAAGUCAGGUGUGAAAUCCUUCCGCUUAACGGGAGAAGUGCACUUGAAACUGCUUAGCUAGAGUACGGGAGAGGAAGGUGGAAUUCCUGGUGUAGAGGUGAAAUUCAUAGAUAUCGGGAAGAACACCGGUGGCGAAGGCGGCCUUCUGGCCCGUUACUGACGCUGAGGCGCGAAAGCGUGGGGAGCAAACAG
rnacentral:rRNA from 1 species